AGCAAAUCACCAAAACCUAAACUACGUUCUAAACUCUUCAGCCGCCAAUCCUACCCCUACGUCCCCUUCCCCACUUUUCCAAUUCUUUCUUCAACUAUGGAUAAACUAAAAAAUGCAAGAACUACAGAGAAGAAGAGUGAGAGAGAACCCCAUAGAGUGAGUGAAAGUUUGAAGAUUUUGAAGAGGUAAUUUUGGGAGGAGCCAUAGUUCGUGAACUGUAACAGCAAAGCAACAUUACAAAAUUGGGAUCAAGAUCCUUUAAGAAGUUUAUGAAGUCUACAGGCAGAUUUGUGAGUUAGAGCAGCAAUGACAAAUUAAGACUAAAGCUAAAGUGCAGUUAAGGCGGUACUACGUUGGGAAGCGAGGAAGGAGAAGACGGUGCUACUUUAUGUCUCAAGCAAGAUGGUGUUGUAGAAGAAUUACGUAUCGUGCAUAUUUGAAAUUUACAAUUAUAAGUAACUUGAAACUUAUUGUGGAGUGUAAUUUUUUUAAUUCUUAGCUACAUUGUAACAAUUCUUAUGUAUAUGUUUUGGAAUCUAAAAUAUUUGAAAUUUUAGCUGCAGGAUGAAAAUUCUUGUUA